rnacentral:misc_RNA from 1 species
AAAUGCGAUAAGUAGUGUGAAUUGCAGAAUUCAGUGAAUCAUCGAAUCUUUGAACGCACAUUGCGCCCCUUGGUAUUCCAUGGGGCAUGCCUGUUCGAGCGUCAUUUGUACCCUCAAGCUCUGCUUGGUGUUGGGUGUUUGUCCCCGUCUCCGCGCGUGGACUCGCCCCAAAGUGAUUGGCAGCCGGCGUACUGGUCCCGGAGCGCAGCACAUGUCGCGCAAACGAGUGCCUUGGUACGGCGGCGUCCAUAAGCCCCUGUCUCACGCUCUUGACCUCGGAUCAGGUAGGGAUACCCGCUGAACUUAAGC